GACGAACGCUGGCGGCGUGCUUAACACAUGCAAGUCGAACGGAAAGGCCCUGCUUUUGUGGGGUGCUCGAGUGACGAACGGGUGAGUAACACGUGAGUAACCUGCCCUUGACUUUGGGAUAACUUCAGGAAACUGGGGCUAAUACCGGAUAGGAGCUCCUGCUGCAUGGUGGGGGUUGGAAAGUUUCGGCGGUUGGGGAUGGACUCGCGGCUUAUCAGCUUGUUGGUGGGGUAGUGGCUUACCAAGGCUUUGACGGGUAGCAGGCCUGAGAGGGUGACCGGCGCCGUUGUGAUUGAGAUGCGGCGCAGUUUCUGCGGGGAGGCAGUAGAGGGAGCGUUUACCCAAAGGGCGGACGUCGGGUACGCAAUCGCCGCGAGGGGAAUAGCGUCCUUAGGGUGUGAACCUGUUUUUACCGUAUGCGAAGCGGAGGUGGCGAUAAGGAGUAAGCAAUCACCGGUUAAGGUUGG
rnacentral:rRNA from 1 species